UAGGGAUAGUCGGGGGCAUCAGUAUUCAAUCGUCAGAGGUGAAAUUCUUGGAUUGAUUGAAGACUAACUACUGCGAAAGCAUUUGCCAAGGAUGUUUUCAUUAAUCAGUGAACGAAAGUUAGGGGAUCGAAGACGAUCAGAUACCGUCGUAGUCUUAACCAUAAACUAUGCCGACUAGGGAUCGGACGGUGUUAGUAU
rnacentral:rRNA from 1 species